AGAAAUCCAGUCAUCGUGAAAAAUGUUAAGAUAAAAAGACAUAUUCAAAAAACAAAACAGAGCUUAUAACAGUAAAUGUAUUUGAUAACAACCAGAGUUCCCACUCUUUCGCAGGCAAUGGAAAAUAACAUUUGUAGACGGGUUUUCAGCAGUAGACCCAACAUGCCUAUAAAAUUCCUUUUAUCUUACUAUGUGGGUUGGGACAAGCCAA
rnacentral:lncRNA from 1 species